rnacentral:rRNA from 1 species
GACGUAGGGCGCGAGCGUUGUCCGGAUUUAUUGGGCGUAAAGAGCUCGUAGGCGGCUUGUCGCGUCGUCCGUGAAAACCCACGGCUUAACUGUGGGCUUGCGGUCGAUACGGGCAGGCUAGAGUUCGGUAGGGGAGACUGGAAUUCCUGGUGUAGCGGUGAAAUGCGCAGAUAUCAGGAGGAACACCGGUGGCGAAGGCGGGUCUCUGGGCCGAUACUGACGCUGAGGAGCGAAAAGCGUGGGGGAGCGAACAGG